AUGAUUUUAUAAAGCAAACCAAGCUUUUUUUAAAAAGUAAGGUUUUGCGAAAUGUAUUUAAAACCCCCACUCUUUUAAAAAUAAAUUUUUUCGUUCAUGAUUAUGAAAUAAAAAAAGAA
rnacentral:misc_RNA from 1 species